rnacentral:tRNA from 1 species
GGACCGUUAGCUCAACUGGCAGAGCAACUGACUCUUAAUCAGUAGGUUGCAGGUUCGAGUCCCGCACGGUCCA